CUUUUCAAGAUGCUAGGGAUAAUAAGCUGAGUUUCUUUUCUUUAAUUUGGAAUAUAUUUGAACAUUCAACUUCACAUCGAUACAGAGUAUAGUUUUUAGAGAGUAGACUAUUCCGUGUUCGGGUUGAUGGUAGAAUGACUGUUGUGUGUUGUGUGUUCUCGGAGGUAAAUUCGGUGUGGGUGUGUUCUAAAUUUGAGACAGUCGGAUUCGUGGAUUGUUCAAUUCUUGCGAGGAGUGAGGGAAACGAUCGCCCUGACUGAUUGGAUUGCAAAAUUAGGAAAGUGACCGCCUCAAAGUAAGGGUCCCCCGCAGGGCCGUUAUCAUUGAUUUGCAGGAGCACGACGUUGCCUGGUUCCCACCGAUACUUGAAGUAGAUUCUAGAAGUGGAGAUGGGUCCUGAACAAAACUGCAGUACUGACUCCGGGAAGCUUGACACCGGCCCAGCUUUUCUGGGUGUGUGCAGCCAGUAUAAUAAGAGAAGUGAAAUCUAAUCCAUUAAGCGAAGUAACAAUUGGAGGAAUUCCAUUGAAUAUUGACCAGAUGUUUCCUUUGUCAGAGGUUCCGCUAGAAGUUAAUAGUACGCUUUAUUGUGCUUCUUGCGAAUACACAUUACGUUCUAUUCAGGAAACUUCACCAGAUAAUAUUACAGAGGCCGAGGUGAAAGAAGCGUUACAAAAUGUAUUUAAAAGUUUACCUGAAAUUAUUAGCGACGAAUGUUCACAAUGUAUAGAUUCAUAUGGAGAAGUUAUUGUUGGUUUAUUAGUUCAAGGAAUCGACCCAGCCGAGGGAUGUACAAAGUUACUUCUAUGCCCUACAAAUACCUAACGAAAUACCGGAUACAAUCUCAUUUGAAAAUAAUGAGUGGGGUGGUAAUGAAAAGAAGAUUGUUAUAGAGGAAAAGGGGAGUAUUAAUUAGAAAAAGAGGAUUGAACACAACGUAUGCGAAUUGGUUGUACGCUAUGUUUGUAAAAGAAUUGUUGGCAGUAGAACAGAAAACAAAAAUAAAUAUGUUACGCACACAA